rnacentral:rRNA from 1 species
ACCGGGGGGGGGGUGCCUAUACAUGCAAGUCGAACGAGUUCUGAUUAUUGAAAGGUGCUUGCAUCUUGAUUUAAUUUUGAACGAGUGGCGGACGGGUGAGUAACACGUGGGUAACCUGCCCUUAAGUGGGGGAUAACAUUUGGAAACAGAUGCUAAUACCGCAUAAAUCCAAGAACCGCAUGGUUCUUGGCUGAAAGAUGGCGUAAGCUAUCGCUUUUGGAUGGACCCGCGGCGUAUUAGCUAGUUGGUGAGGUAACGGCUCACCAAGGCAAUGAUACGUAGCCGAACUGAGAGGUUGAUCGGCCACAUUGGGACUGAGACACGGCCCAAACUCCUACGGGAGGCAGCAGUAGGGAAUCUUCCACAAUGGACGCAAGUCUGAUGGAGCAACGCCGCGUGAGUGAAGAAGGCUUUCGGGUCGUAAAACUCUGUUGUUGGAGAAGAAUGGUCGGCAGAGUAACUGUUGUCGGCGUGACGGUAUCCAACCAGAAAGCCACGGCUAACUACGUGCCAGCAGCCGCGGUAAUACGUAGGUGGCAAGCGUUAUCCGGAUUUAUUGGGCGUAAAGCGAGCGCAGGCGGUUUUUUAAGUCUGAUGUGAAAGCCCUCGGCUUAACCGAGGAAGUGCAUCGGAAACUGGGAAACUUGAGUGCAGAAGAGGACAGUGGAACUCCAUGUGUAGCGGUGAAAUGCGUAGAUAUAUGGAAGAACACCAGUGGCGAAGGCGGCUGUCUGGUCUGUAACUGACGCUGAGGCUCGAAAGCAUGGGUAGCGAACAGGAUUAGAUACCCUGGUAGUCCAUGCCGUAAACGAUGAAUGCUAGGUGUUGGAGGGUUUCCGCCCUUCAGUGCCGCAGCUAACGCAUUAAGCAUUCCGCCUGGGGAGUACGACCGCAAGGUUGAAACUCAAAGGAAUUGACGGGGGCCCGCACAAGCGGUGGAGCAUGUGGUUUAAUUCGAAGCAACGCGAAGAACCUUACCAGGUCUUGACAUCUUUUGAUCACCUGAGAGAUCAGGUUUCCCCUUCGGGGGCAAAAUGACAGGUGGUGCAUGGUUGUCGUCAGCUCGUGUCGUGAGAUGUUGGGUUAAGUCCCGCAACGAGCGCAACCCUUAUGACUAGUUGCCAGCAUUUAGUUGGGCACUCUAGUAAGACUGCCGGUGACAAACCGGAGGAAGGUGGGGAUGACGUCAAAUCAUCAUGCCCCUUAUGACCUGGGCUACACACGUGCUACAAUGGAUGGUACAACGAGUUGCGAGACCGCGAGGUCAAGCUAAUCUCUUAAAGCCAUUCUCAGUUCGGACUGUAGGCUGCAACUCGCCUACACGAAGUCGGAAUCGCUAGUAAUCGCGGAUCAGCACGCCGCGGUGAAUACGUUCCCGGGCCUUGUACACACCGCCCGUCACACCAUGAGAGUUUGUAACACCCGAAGCCGGUGGCGUAACCCUUUUAGGGAGCGAGCCGUCUAAGGGGACAAAAA